rnacentral:rRNA from 1 species
CUACCAUGCAGUCGAGCGGUAGCACGGGGGAGCUUGCUCCCUGGGUGACGAGCGGCGGACGGGUGAGUAAUGUCUGGGAAACUGCCUGAUGGAGGGGGAUAACUACUGGAAACGGUAGCUAAUACCGCAUAACGUCGCAAGACCAAAGUGGGGGACCUUCGGGCCUCACGCCAUCAGAUGUGCCCAGAUGGGAUUAGCUAGUAGGUGGGGUAAUGGCUCACCUAGGCGACGAUCCCUAGCUGGUCUGAGAGGAUGACCAGCCACACUGGAACUGAGACACGGUCCAGACUCCUACGGGAGGCAGCAGUGGGGAAUAUUGCACAAUGGGCGCAAGCCUGAUGCAGCCAUGCCGCGUGUGUGAAGAAGGCCUUCGGGUUGUAAAGCACUUUCAGCGAGGAGGAAGGGUGAUGUCUUAAUACGGCAUCACAUUGACGUUACUCGCAGAAGAAGCACCGGCUAACUCCGUGCCAGCAGCCGCGGUAAUACGGAGGGUGCAAGCGUUAAUCGGAAUUACUGGGCGUAAAGCGCACGCAGGCGGUUUGUUAAGUCAGAUGUGAAAUCCCCGGGCUCAACCUGGGAACUGCAUUUGAAACUGGCAAGCUAGAGUCUCGUAGAGGGGGGUAGAAUUCCCGGUGUCCC